rnacentral:rRNA from 1 species
AUUGAACGCUGGCGGCGUGCUUAACACAUGCAAGUCGAGCGGUAACAGGCGUAGCAAUACGUGCUGACGAGCGGCGAACGGGUGAGUAAUGCUUCGGAAUCUUCCUUGUAGUGGGGAAUAACCUGGGGAAACUCAGGCUAAUGCCGCAUACGAACACUGGUUGAAAGCGGGGGAUCGCAAGACCCCGCACUAGAAGAUGAGCCGAAGGCGGAUUAGGUAGUUGGUGGGGUAAAGGCCUACCAAGGCGACGAUCCGUAGCUGGUCUGAGAGGACGACCAGCCACACUGGGACUGAGACACGGCCCAGACUCCUACGGGAGGCAGCAGUGGGGAAUAUUGGACAAUGGGGGCAACCCUGAUCCAGCGACGCCGCGUGUGUGAAGAAGGCCUGCGGGUUGUAAAGCACUUUUAGUGGGGACAAAAAGCCGAGGGCUAAUACCUUUCGGUCUUGAUUUAACCCAAAGAAAAAGCACCGGCUAACUCUGUGCCAGCAGCCGCCGUAAAAC